rnacentral:rRNA from 1 species
AAUGAACGUUGGCGGCGUGGAUUAGGCAUGCAAGUCGUGCGGAAAGGCUCCUUCGGGAGUACUCGAGCGGCGAAAGGGAGAGUAACGCGUGGAUAUCUACCCCCUGGCCUGGGAUAGCGGCGGGAAACUGCCGGUAAUACCAGAUAAUGUCUGCGGACCAAAGGUGUGAUUCCGUCGGGGGAUGAGGUCGCGUCCUAUUAGCUAGUUGGUAGGGUAAUGGCCUACCAAGGCACAAAUGGGUACCGGGUGUGAGAGCAUGGCCCGGCUCACUGGGACUGAGACACGGCCCAGACACCUGCUGGUGGCUGCAGUCGAGAAUCCUCGGCAAUGGGCGCAAGCCUGACCGAGCGACGCCGCGUGCGGGAUGAAGGCCUUCGGGUUGUAAACCGCUGUCAGAGGGGAGGAAAUGCGUAGGAGUUCUCUCUUACGUUUGACCUAUCCUCAGAGGAAGUACGGGCUAAGUUCGUGCCAGCCGCCGCAGUAAUAC